AUUGAACGCUGGCGGCAUGCUUUACACAUGCAAGUCGAACGGCAGCGCGGGCUUCGGCCUGGCGGCGAGUGGCGUACGGGUGAGUAAUACAUCGGCACGUUCCCAGUAGUGGGGGAUAGCUUGGCGAAAGCCGGAUUAAUACCGCAUACGACCUGAGGGUGAAAGCGGGGGAUCUUCGGACCUCGCUCUAUUGGAUCGUCCGAUGGCAGAUUAGCUAGUUGGUGGGGUAAAGGCCUACCAAGGCGACGAUCUGUAGCUGGUCUGAGAGGACGACCAGCCACACGGGGACUGAGAAACGGCCCAGACUCCUACGGGGGGCAGCAGUGGGGAAUUUUGGGCAAUGGGCGAAAGCCUGAUACAGCAAAGCCGCGUGUGGGAUGAAGGACUUCGGGUUGUAGAGCACUUUUGGCGGGAACGAAAAGGACUGUGCCAAUACCACAGUUCGAUGACGGUACCCGAAGAAUAAGCACCGGCUAACUACGUG
rnacentral:rRNA from 1 species